rnacentral:misc_RNA from 1 species
GAAAUGCGAUAAGUAAUGUGAAUUGCAGAAUUCAGUGAAUCAUCGAAUCUUUGAACGCACAUUGCGCCCGCCAGUAUUCUGGCGGGCAUGCCUGUCCGAGCGUCAUUUCAACCAUCAAGCCCCCGGGCUUGUGUUGGGGACCUGCGGCUGCCCGCAGGCCCUGAAAAACAGUGGCGGGCUCGCUGUCACACCGAGCGUAGUAGCAAUCACCUCGCUCAGGGCGUGCUGCGGGUUCCGGCCGUUAAACAGCCUUACAAAACCCAAGGUUGACCUCGGAUCAGGUAGGAAGACCCGCUGAACUUAAGC